rnacentral:rRNA from 1 species
UACGAAGGGGGCUAGCGUUGUUCGGAAUCACUGGGCGUAAAGCGCACGCAGGCGGAUUGAUAAGUCAGGGGUGAAAUCCCGGGGCUUAACCUCGGAAUUGCCUUUGAUACUGUCUGUCUUGAGUUCGGGAGAGGUUGGUGGAAUUCCUAGUGUAGAGGUGAAAUUCGUAGAUAUUAGGAAGAACACCAGUGGCGAAGGCGACCAACUGGCCCGAAACUGACGCUCAUGUGCGAAAGCGUGGGGAGCAAAC